GAUGAACGCUGGCGGCGUGCCUAAUACAUGCAAGUCGAGCGAACAGAUGAGGAGCUUGCUCCUCUGACGUUAGCGGCGGACGGGUGAGUAACACGUGGAUAACCUACCUAUAAGACUGGGAUAACUUCGGGAAACCGGAGCUAAUACCGGAUAAUAUAUUGAACCGCAUGGUUCAAUAGUGAAAGACGGUUUUGCUGUCACUUAUAGAUGGAUCCGCGCCGCAUUAGCUAGUUGGUAAGGUAACGGCUUACCAAGGCAACGAUGCGUAGCCGACCUGAGAGGGUGAUCGGACACACUGGAACUGAAACACGGUCCAGACUCCUACGGGAGGCAGCAGUAGGGAAUCUUCCGCAAUGGGCGAAAGCCUGACGGAGCAACGCCGCGUGAGUGAUGAAGGUCUUCGGAUCGUAAAACUCUGUUAUUAGGGAAGAACAAAUGUGUAAGUAACUAUGCACGUCUUGACGGUACCUAAUCAGAAAGCCACGGCUAACUACGUG
rnacentral:rRNA from 1 species